rnacentral:rRNA from 1 species
CCUACGGGAGGCAGCAGUGAGGAAUAUUGGUCAAUGGACGAGAGUCUGAACCAGCCAAGUAGCGUGAAGGAUGACUGCCCUAUGGGUUGUAAACUUCUUUUAUAUGGGAAUAAAAUGUUCCACGUGUGGGAUUUUGUAUGUACCAUAUGAAUAAGGAUCGGCUAACUCCGUGCCAGCAGCCGCGGUAAUACGGAGGAUCCGAGCGUUAUCCGGAUUUAUUGGGUUUAAAGGGAGCGUAGGUGGAUUGUUAAGUCAGUUGUGAAAGUUUGCGGCUCAACCGUAAAAUUGCAGUUGAAACUGGCAGUCUUGAGUACAGGAGAGGUAGGCGGAAUGCGUGGUGUAGCGGUGAAAUGCUUAGAUAUCACGAAGAACUCCGAUUGCGAAGGCAGUUCACUGGACUGCAACUGACACUGAGGCUCGAAAGUGUGGGUAUCAAACAGGAUUAGAUACCCUUGUAGUC